GAUUUCUGAGAUGAGCUCCCAUGUUCAUAAUAUUUGCGUUGUGCUAAAUGAGGUAUAAUCAAUAGGUGCUUAUGCUCCAAUUCUUUUAUGGUGACCAUCUAAAAUAGAAAACAGCAGGACAAUUGCUAUGUCAUCAAACAUGAUCAUCAUCAGUACUAGGGUUUCUUUAGGCCAUGUUAUUAGUCUUGACCUGUCUAGGUAGCAUUGAUGCAUGUUCAUGUGUUCUUUUUCUUAAACUGUCAGUCAUUAUUUGACUAUGUUGUAUUGCUGUUGGCAUGUACCAAUAUUUCAUGGCAAAUCUUAUAUCCCAAGUUUUUUAUAUGCUCAACAGGCCGCACUUGAAGAAAUCUUAUAUCAGUUUGAGGAAAAACUCCAAGCUGAAAGAGAGGAAGCUGCUAGGAAGUAGGAAGAGUUGCAAGCACAACUACAAGCUCAACAGGCCGCACUUGAAGAAAACCAAAGUUUGUUGCGCCAGACCCAAGAGGAAGUGAAGGGGAUGCAUACCAAGUUUGAAGAGACCAAUGCACUACUACGAGCUAUCUUGAAACUUCAGAAAGAUUGAGGUAGGGAUGCAUACCAAGUCUGAGGAUGAUGCCUUUGCUUAAGGUUUUUCUACCUUGCUAGAACAUAUCUGUGGUUAGAACUUUAUCAGAACUACGUGCAAUCUGUUUGAAUGCUUCAAACCUUUGUGGUGGAACCUUUGUAUGUUUGAACCUCUGUUGUGGAAGAACUAGUGUGCUGGAAUUGUGUAUGACUUGUGAUGAGAAUGUUGUGUAUGAUGGC